rnacentral:rRNA from 1 species
CCCCUAGAUGUUCUGGGCCGCACGCGCGCUGCACUGAACAGUUCAACAAGUCUUAACCUUGGCCGAUAGGUCUGGGUAAUCUUUGAACGCUGUUCGUGAUUGGGAUAGACCUUUGCAAUUAUGGGUCUUCAACGAGGAAUUCCUAGUAAACGCAAGUCAUCAGCUUGCAUUGAUUACGUCCCUGCCCUUUGUACACACCGCCCGUCGCACCUACCGAUUGAAUGGUCCGGUGAAUCUUUAGGACUGUGGCUGAGGCCUUGCCUUGUGCGGGUCUGGCCGUGGGAAUUUAGUUAAACCUUACCAUUUAGAGGAAGGUGAAGUCGUAACA